UACGAAGGGGGGCUAGCGUUGCUCGGAAUCACUGGGCGUAAAGGGUGCGUAAGCGGGUCUUUAAGUCAGGGGUGAAAUCCUGGAGCUCAACUCCAGAACUGCCUUUGAUACUGAAGAUCUUGAGUUCGGGAGAGGUGAGUGGAACUGCGAGUGUAGAGGUGAAAUUCGUAGAUAUUCGCAAGAACACCAGUGGCGAAGGCGGCUCACUGGCCCGAUACUGACGCUGAGGCACGAAAGCGUGGGGAGCAAACAGGG
rnacentral:rRNA from 1 species